UCUUAACAGGAACAACAUAAAAAUACAGUGAACUUCAAUAAAUGUCUUUUAUUUCAAAAAAAAUUACAUUUUUCAAAAAAGAUGCGCGGUGCGGCACCAUCCGGGACUUCUCGGUUACCCUCUGUUGCAAUUCAUUAUAUACAUUGUAUAUUUUCAUUUCUGAGAAAUGAGAAUCAGAUCAUAUUCUCCCGUUAAAACGAAAUGCGGUUUCGGAAAUCGAAUUCAAAACCACUUUGGUGUGGGGUUUAGGGUUUCUUUCUCAGAAGAUCAUCAACUGUUGGACAUUCUCUUCGCAGCUCGGUAUAUCAGAGAUUAUUAAACAUCAACCAUUGAUGGAGAAGAGACUCCAAGUUAAGGGGAUAGGAGGGUCUAGGAGGCUUGGUCAUGGUUGCCAGUCGAACACUUUAGGAUCCUUUAAAGCUAACAGGUUGUACUCCAUUUCUCUCCUCUCUUUUAACAAUAUUUGGCUUCCUUGCUAUCUUUCUGCAUUGUUUUAUAUUUUUCCUCCUUAGUAACGUGAAAGAUAACCCAAAAAUAUAGAGUGGGCCAUAGGCUAUGUCAAAUUUACAAUUAAUUAAUGCAGAUAGUUCGUUUUUAUCUCUUAAAAGUAAAAUAAGAUGAUGGAUGGAGAUGUGUUACUGCAUAUAUACAAUUUAAAGAAAAAACUUGGUAGAAUCCAUGAUAAUAAAUUCUUGAUGAUGGAAGUUAUUCUCUAUCAAGAAGGUGAUGCUUUCUGUAGUUAAAUGAUUACUACUGUCUAUUGUUCUAUCAAGAUAGUGUCUAUUGUCAUUUCAAAAUGGUGGGAAAUUUUUGCCAAGAAACACAGAGGACUUUCGGAUCCUAUUUUUUGCCUCCAUUGUUUUGCAUCAUGUUUUAGUAUAAUUGUUAAAUUCCCUGAUUUAUAUGUAUACUUGUGUUUUACUUUUCAAAUGUUGCUGAAGCAUACUGAUAGAGCUGGUUGGAAAAUACUCCAUCCGCAUCCGUUCCAAAUUAAGUGUCGUGUUAGAUUUUUUCACACAAAUUAAGAAAACUAUAGAUGAUAGAAAGAAUGUUGCAAUUUUAUAAAAUUAUUCUUAUUAACUAUUGGUUAUUAACCAUUAUUAUUAUAAAUAAAUGUAUAGUGGAAUAUAAUGACUUGAAAGUGGUGCAGACAAUAUUAAUAUAAGGUAGAAUUGGAAAAAUACUAAUUAAUGUCACAUUGAAAAAUCAAAACGAUACUCACUUUAGAACAUUUUUUAUAUGCUAAAAUGACACUUAUUUUGGAACAGAAUGAGUAAAUUAGUACAAUGAAUAAACUUCGUUUAUCAUGGAUACAACUUCCUUUAGAAAUUACAAAGAGAAGGAUGAAGAGAUUCGCCCUAGGAAUUCGAGAGCCUGGGCAGUCCUAAGUAACCGACUAGAUCCCAAUUUACCGAAUGCCCUCUUUUCCUUAAUCUUUUUAUUUACUAUUCUAACUUCCUACAACGGUUACAUAGUAGUUACUGCACAUGCAACAUUUACAAAUAACUAAAUAAACUGUCUACCAAUAUAUUAAAUAUUCAACCUACUAAUAUUAUAUAACUUCUGCCCCAAGCCUAAGGAAUCCCGUUCAUAGACUUUCUUUUAUACAGAAUCCCAGUCAUAGACUUUUUUUGACAAGAUCCCGUUCAAUGGCAAGAAACGCAUUAUUACCUUUUUGCAAAUUCUUUAUUAAGAAAUAGUGUAUAAAAAAAUAAGGCUUAAUGAGGUUUUUGGUCCUUCAACUUAUUUUUGAGGUUUAAGUUGGCCCUUUAACUUUAAAGAGUGUCACUUUGAUCUUUUAGCUUUUACUAUGUUAAUUUGUAUUUGUCAUUUCUUUUAGCUCGUACUAUGUUAAUUCGUAUUUGUCAUCUCUUUUAGCUUUUACUAUGUUAAUUCGUAUUUGUCAUUUCUGUCCAAAUUGUUAAACCAACUCACCCUAACUCUAUAUGUGGCUUUGACGUGGAGCUGACAUGGUUAAGCAAACAAUGUAGGUAGAGAACAUAUUGCAAAUUUUAUAGCAGGCAUCAGUAGCAUUGCUGCGUAACAUCCAUUCAUGAUCAUAGACUGGUAGUACCAUUAAAGAUUAACAAAUGAGAGGCUUGUCCAUGGCAUCCUUCAAGUAAACCUUCAUCUUUAAUUUCUUGUCCGCUCAACAAUUUUUUAACCACUAUCAAUGAAUGGGUGGUAAGGUAUAGUGGUUCACCAUGUGAAUCCUCAUUUGAGUCGCACUUCCUUGUAGAUGAGAGGACGAAGAAGAAGAACGAAUGCUUAGACAUUUUGAUUUUUGGUUGCACAAAUUUAAAGCAAAUUUGGAGAAAAGACGGAUUUUAUAAACCCAGGAUUUGGGGAAGACGAAGGAUUUUAUAAACACUAAGUUUUAGAGAGGAAUGCCUCAAAGCAAAUUUAAGAAAGAAGGCUUUUAUGAAGCAUUUUAACUACUAGUUUAUGAUGAAAGCUACACCAAAUGCCAUAUCAUCUUUUACUAAUGUUCUUUACACCUAUUUGACGGAAAGGACCGAUGUUAGUUAACAAAGUAAAGUUAAAUGACUAAAGUGACACUUUUAAAAGUUAAAGGACCAAUUUGAACCUAAACAAUAAGGGAUCAAAAAGUAAUUAAGUCAAAAACUAACUUAGCAUCACUUCUAUAUUUGAUGUAUUGAUAUGUUUAUUUCAAUCAUGAAAUGAUAAUAAUGUUCCGAGGUUUAUUGUGGACCUUCAGAGAACCAAGGCGUGCAAUAUAAAUUGAAUCAAAUGCCUUCAUGUUUCAGGCCAGAUCUAUUGGCUUCAACCUUUUUAGUUUUUGCUGUUAACUACACAGUUUUGGCAUCAUUUGGUGCCUGAUUUGAUUAAAUAUGAUGCUGCAUAGUUGGAGUGAUUGUCAUAAAAAAAAAAUCAUUUAUUUAUAUUUCUCUCUUUUUUUCCUGAUCAUCCCUUGGUUGUAGCCGUCGAUGAGAAACCACUUGUGGUUUGUGGUUUUCAUUUCACGUAAAUGUUGCAGAAAAUGGUUAGGUUUUAUAUUUGGGGAAAGAAAAAUUGGUAAAUUGGUAUUUUUAAUAGCAGUAAUUUUUCGCCUCCAUCAUCUUCUGCAUGUAUUGACCGACAAUGUGCUUGGCAAUGCGGUCAGCUACCUCGACACGUUUUAUCAACUAUCCACAGUGCAGCUUUUCCUGCAACACACGGUAGCAAUGUAAUUCUGAUCAAAUCCAAACACACUAAUACUUUUCCUCAUUAAAACUAUUUAGCUCUUGGGGGAAGAUGAAUAAUGCAACCAAACUUUCUUUGGUUAUUAAAUUUUCAUACAGAGGUUGCAAGUGGUUUCUAUCAUAUGUCCUGAAAAGGAAUUAAUUUCACAAAACCUGUUUAUGAAGGAAGACUUGUGCCACAAGUUAAUAAUUUCACAAAACCUGACUGCUCAAUGGAAACACCUAUAUUAAACUUGUUGCAAUCUAUUAGCCAACACUUUGGCAAGAAUUUUGUACUGAUCGUAUGAAAUAGAUUGGGCUGCUUCCUCGUUUGAGGCUACGGAGCGAGCAGCAUUCUUUUGAGUUUUCAUUUCCAGGUAAGGACGAGAGCCGAAAGAAAAGAAUCCCCGGGUUACUCUUAUAUGAGAGUCAUCGGUUGGUCCUGCACCAAGCCUUGAAUGCUGAAUUGGUUCUCCUUUUCUACGGAUUCGGUGAGGUAUGUCACAGGUCCAUGAAGGCCAUUGGAAGCCUCUAAAGCUGUCUAGAGGAGGUCUUGCAAUUUCAUUGAACAUUUAUUCUUUGCGGAUUCUUUCAUCUUUGUCGCCCUGGAGUGAUAAUUAUCCUUUUUAGAUUAGAGAAGUGACUUUCGGGAUGUUUGCUCGUUAAUUGCUCUUCCGGUAACUGGUAGUCAGCACCUUCGGUCCGGGUUACAUAAAGAAAUGGGCCUAAGGUCCUUCAUAGAAUUAGAAGAAUCACACUUCGGAAUGAGAACUAGAUUAUCAUAUCUGUAAUACACAUCAAUUUUUCCAGCAAAUUAGACAGUUAUUUUAUUCCCUUAAGAACUAUAAGAUCUAACAUAAGUAUAUAUCCCCUGGGAACUAGGAAUAACACCUUGCAGUCACCUCCUAUACGCCUGGAUUUCUGGAUGAUAUCAUAACCGCAUAAUUAAUUGCUAAGAACUUGCUUACUUUUUCUUUAUUUGAUUCCUAGCAUCCGCAUGCUGGUGUUUUUAUUCUUAAAAUCAUUUGUUUUUCUACUUCCUCGGAUGUCUCUCACCAAUGCCCUAACUGAAAUGCUUAAUGUGCCAUUCUUGGAGUCUUAUGUUUGUCAUAUGUUUGUAAUGCUAUUUAUUGCUUGCAGUUGACUUGUUGCAGAUAUGACCGUUAAGUAAAUAUUUUACAGAAAAAUGAUUUCCAUGUUUAUAAAGCUACUAAUGUCUGGCAUCCAUUGACGUAAAAUUUACUGCCUAUGAACCCUACUUAUUCAGAACAUAGAAAGCUGACUAAAUGUUGUCCUAUCAAAAGCGUGAAUAAGAAGACAAAAAGCUAUGAAGAAUUGGUUUUGCAUAACUGAAUAGAAAAACUCCUGGGCACAAGUAAUGCUAUAAUGUUAUUUGGUAGCCAACUAUUGGAAGGUAGCAGUUUAUUGCCCCCAAAAACAUUGGUGAUAUAAAUUGUUAUAGUUGUUACCCUUGGUUGUUUGGUAGAUUUUAGGGAAAUUUUCAUCUGAAUAAAAGCUUUGGAUGCUUUGGUUCUAUAUCCUGACCAUGUAGCUAUUUUGAAUUUUUUUUGUGACAAAAAUAUAGCCAUUUUGAAUUAGUGAUGAGAUAUAUGUAGCUUAGUGCAAUUUCCGUGAAAAUUUUCUGUUUUUGUUCUUGUAUCUACUACUCACUUAGGUACGAUGCCAGCAUUUCUGUUUGCGACCCAGAUGUGAUAUUUGACUGAUGGUGAUGGCAUUGGGGAGAUAUAUUUUUUCACUUAAGUUUUAUUCAUUUAUUGUGGUUUAUAGAGGGUAUUGAGAAAAACAAAAGUAUCACGGUGACUAGAGAUAAUGUUUAAAUACAGCUUAUAAGUGUAAUAGUCUUCACUUUACAAACUGAGUUUGAAGAGUUAAGCUUAAAAUUUAAAUUGAUAUCAAAAUCUAUCUUAGAUCUAUUAAUGGGCUAUCCUCAAUAUUCAGGCAUCAAGUCAAUAGUGUUGGGAUGAGGGAUUGUAAUGAAAAAUUCUCAACUGCUCCAAUGAAUAUUAAAUAAAGUUUACAAAGCAAUCUGCACCUUACAAAUUAGUUUUUUGGAAAUGAGUUAAAGUAUUUAACAGAGAGACAUAAUAUAAUUUCUUUGUUUCUGGUGAAAAGCUUGCCAGCUACUUUUAAUUUUAGUAGAUGACAGUUGGUGGGAAAUAUAUGAACCUAUUUCUUGUUAAUUGUCACCCUACGUGCUGAUGCUAUCCUCUUUUUUAUUUGUAUAUUGUAUGUGAAUAUUCUUGUUUAUGUCUGGUUUUGUAAUUCGCAACAAAAGAGCCUAUUUAUCCAUCAAUUGAUUGUGAAGCAUAUUGGAAUACCAGCAACUUUGUACGGCGGUGGGCUCAUUUUCAAUAUGAAUUUCAAGUUCAUCUUUUUGGUUUGACUAACAGGAGGAGUAUGUUGAAAAUACAAGUUGCAGUUGGUUUUGAAGUUGUCAAAACGCCAAACAUCUUUGGAUUCCAACGCUUGACAUGCACAGAUCUUCAUAUAUAAAGUCGAUGGGAGUAAUAAAUAUAUCUGCGCUGAUAAGUCAAAACAUUGGGACAUAGCUUUCCUGUUGUUGAACUUAUGGCUCGAGAAUUGAGACAUGAGACCCGAUCAUCUCAUUCACUAAAAACGUUCCAUUUUUUUCUUCCUAUAAUUCAAAUUUAGGGUUAGAUGAUAAUGUUGUAAUUCAAUGUACGAAUUUUUUUUAGAGUUUAUCAAAUACUUAUUAAAUGAUUUAUUUGUAUCUUUUUUCGAUAAUAUAAUCAGGAUUUGAACCUGCAGUUAGUAUCUAA